CACCCACCCAGUGCAUCCACAUGGAGUGGACUGAGCUGGUGGCAGCAGAGCUGCGUUUUCCCACUGCUGCAAAGAUGGGGUUGGGUGGGAGUGGUGGGGAUGGGCUGAUGGUUGGGUUUGAUCUUAAAGGUCUUUUCCAAUCUUAAUGACUCUAUGAUAGCGCUGCCUGAAGUCCUCCCCUCCUAUUGCCCAGUGGUAUCGAGAGCAUGAGGAACAAGGGAGCAGAGGGCUCUGUCUGAUGCCAGCCCUCCGUGCUGGGCUGACCCUGGCCAUCCCAUGUUAUGCUGUGACCCUCUGUGUCUUGCAGGGUCUGACUGCAAGCCGUGCUUACGGGAGCUCGCUGACCGCAGUCCCUCUGCUUUGGAGUAUCACAGCCCCAAGCGUUUCCUCCCGUCCCUGAUUGCUGAGGAUGACACCUUGUUCACCAGCAUGGCCGAAGAAAAGGCAAGUGUGCCCCUUUCCUUCCACUGCCAGCACGUAGGGCAGCAGCUGGGCUUAGCAAACGGAGGGGUCAGAGCCAUAUUCAGCAAGGUCUGUGAUGGAGUAGGGAUGGGAGAAAGGAGUACUGACCCAAACUAACUAGUGAUACAAGGUUAUAGUGCUUCUGUUGCUGAGCAUUAGUGGGGAUGAGGCACGGAGAGAUGUUAAGGGCUGGAAGCAACCUUCAUAAAUCCCCAGAGCAAAGUCAGCAGGUGGGUAAUGGGGCAGAUAUGUGCUGGGCAGCCCCAGCAUGGAAAGUGCCCUUGGCAGGAGGUGUGUGAGGAUCUCGGAUGGACUCAGUGUGCUCAGGCUGAGCCUUUGCUGCCUUUGCAGGAGGAUUCAUCUUCCACAGAGCUGGAUGUCCCAACAGCAGACACACACAGCAGCACGGAGGAUCUCCUCUCAGACUCCGCUCUGCACGGCACGGAGUAUUACAAAGACCUGGGGCUCCUGAGCCCACCAGCUGACAGAACAGUGCCAGAGAUGGCAGCACAGCCAGAAGCAGCCCCCCAGGCUGCAUCUGCCAUUUGCUUAUUGGAGGAGAGAUCCAGAGCUCUGGGAAAGGUGUCUGUGGAUGUGGCUUUUUCCAAUCCCAUCUCCUGCUCGGUGCGUUAUGGUGAGGCUGACUGCCACUCUCUGAACAAAGCCAGUUCAGAAACCACCACUGCUGGGUGCCCUGCAGAGGAAGAUGAAGCUUUGGAUCUCCAGGAGGCCUCAGAGUCCUUCCCCACACUGGUGAGAUCCAUGUCUACCUCUAGGAGGCACAGCUGGGAGAGCCCCUUGUCACCUGUGGACUGCAAGCGCAGGUUCAGCUUGGAUACCACAGAGAGAAGCAGUGAUCCAGAGCAGGAGGAGGCGGAUAAAGGGAGCAGGUCCUGCACGCAGCCUCGUGUGUCCCUGCAGCUGCCUGGGGGGAAGCAGGGAGCCUGGAGCAGCAGUUCAGGCAACAUGGUGAUCAAAGUGCAGAUAGAACCACUGCGACCCAGCGGCCCAGCCAGCCUGGGCUCAGAGGAGGCGGUGAGUGUGCAGUGGGGUGCAGCACCCUGACACUGCCUGGGUGGGCACACAUGGUGGGGGGCUGCGGGAAGGCAGGGAUGACUGCUGGCAUUUGGCAUGGGAGCCCCAUUCCCUGCCUUGCACCUUGCCAGCUGUGCCCUGAUGGAAGCUCUCUUGGUGCACAAAGGACCAAAGAUGUCCAUGACUUUUUACUUCUCUAGGAACGUGCCAGUGAUGGGAAGAGGCUGAGGCCACUGUCCAUCCCAUCAGCCUGCAAGGCUGCCUCCCCCCAGGCACCCUGUGGUUUCAACGCUUCUCUUUCAGCCAUGGAAGGUUUGUACAGACUUCAAAUAAGUUCAGCUCAUCUGUGAUUAAGUCAUAAAACCAGAGAUGCAGCCUCUGCAAGUCUAGACAGCCUCUGCCCUUCUCUUCCAUGUGGUCCCAGGAGCACCCAAGAUGAAGUCAAGCUGACUUGAUGUCUGAUCUCAGCUCAGAGCAGUCUAAGCAUAGAUAUGUCCCCAGUGACUCAUUGCCAUAUAUUGGUCAUUCCCCACUCACACGAGUCAAUGACAGUAUCCUAGGAACAAAUGUAGAGAAUUGUCCAGAAGUAAGUGGAGGAACAGCCAUGCAGGGAAACUGGGGGGUCUCUGGGUGGUGCCAGCCCCUAUCAUCUAGCUGGAAUCCAGCUGCAAGCAGGAAUUCAGUGUAAUAUAGACUGGAGAGGGAAGGUGUGAUACUGAAAACCAGGGUGUCUGCUGAGAGUGUUUUCUGUUCCAGGUGUUGAACCUCCUGCUCUGGAGAUGCUGGAGAAGGACCAUGUGUCCCCAGACCAAGUGUAGGUAUUGUCAGUCCUGGCUGUUUUGAGAUGACUGAGGUUUUUGUGUGCAUCUGACCUACUGGAGAUCCAUCAACAAGCCAUAAGGAAGAUCCCACUCUACUCUAGGGCACAGCUCAGUAGUUGGUUGUAGAUGCUUGAUUCUUUGUGGGGUGCAGAAUUCCUUUGCAAGGAAAUUUUCUGAUUGUUUGCUUUUCUUCUGCUCUAUCCCUCAUA
rnacentral:lncRNA from 1 species